UUGAAACACUGGUUCCCAUACGAUCACUGAAGUUAAGCAACAUCAAGACGAGUCAGUACCUAGAUGGGUGACCACUUGAGAAUAUCAGGCACUGUA